GGAAUAUUGGACAAUGGGCGCAAGCCUGAUCCAGCCAUGCCGCGUGCAGGAUGACGGUCCUAUGGAUUGUAAACUGCUUUUAUACGAGAAGAAACAACUCUACGUGUAGAGUCUUGACGGUAUCGUAAGAAUAAGGAUCGGCUAACUCCGUGCCAGCAGCCGCGGUAAUACGGAGGAUCCAAGCGUUAUCCGGAAUCAUUGGGUUUAAAGGGUCCGUAGGCGGUCAGAUAAGUCAGUGGUGAAAGCCCAUCGCUCAACGGUGGAACGGCCAUUGAUACUGUCUGACUUGAAUUAUUAGGAAGUAACUAGAAUAUGUAGUGUAGCGGUGAAAUGCUUAGAGAUUACAUGGAAUACCAAUUGCGAAGGCAGGUUACUACUAAUAUAUUGACGCUGAUGGACGAAAGCGUGGGUAGCGAACAGGAUUAGAUACCCUGG
rnacentral:rRNA from 1 species